rnacentral:rRNA from 1 species
UACGAAGGGGGCUAGCGUUGCUCGGAAUCACUGGGCGUAAAGCGCACGUAGGCGGAUCGUUAAGUCAGGGGUGAAAUCCUGGAGCUCAACUCCAGAACUGCCUUUGAUACUGACGACCUUGAGUUCGGGAGAGGUGAGUGGAACUGCGAGUGUAGAGGUGAAAUUCGUAGAUAUUCGCAAGAACACCAGUGGCGAAGGCGGCUCACUGGCCCGGUACUGACGCUGAGGCGCGAAAGCGUGGGGAGCAAACAGGG